rnacentral:rRNA from 1 species
CGACCGGCGCACGGGUGAGUAACGCGUAUCCAACCUGCCCACCACUUGGGGAUAACCUUGCGAAAGUAAGACUAAUACCCAAUGACGUCUCUAGAAGACAUCUGAAAGGGAUUAAAGAUUUAUCGGUGAUGGAUGGGGAUGCGUCUGAUUAGCUUGUUGGCGGGGUAACGGCCCACCAAGGCGACGAUCAGUAGGGGUUCUGAGAGGAAGGUCCCCCACAUUGGAACUGAGACACGGUCCAAACUCCUACGGGAGGCAGCAGUGAGGAAUAUUGGUCAAUGGACGAGAGUCUGAACCAGCCAAGUAGCGUGCAGGAUGACGGCCCUAUGGGUUGUAAACUGCUUUUAUAAGGGAAUAAAGUGAGUCUCGUGAGACUUUUUGCAUGUACCUUAUGAAUAAGGACCGGCUAAUUCCGUGCCAGCAGCCGCGGUAAUACGGAAGGUCCGGGCGUUAUCCGGAUUUAUUGGGUUUAAAGGGAGCGUAGGCCGGAGAUUAAGCGUGUUGUGAAAUGUAGACGCUCAACGUCUGCACUGCAGCGCGAACUGGUUUCCUUGAGUACGCACAAAGUGGGCGGAAUUCGUGGUGUAGCGGUGAAAUGCUUAGAUAUCACGAAGAACUCCGAUUGCGAAGGCAGCUCA